UUACAGAUCAGCUUAAUUAUCUAUAGUAAAGGAUCCUACAAAUUAAUGUAAGAUACAGUCACAGAAAAUAAUUAUAUUCAUAAGUACGUCUGAGUCAGUGACAACCCUACAACAGAUGUAUCCAUCGGAUCGCCAUCAAUGAUGGUGAUACAUGGAUGUGUACAUAAUGUAUAUACAACUCGUCUAAACAUCAACCCAACAAUGUUUGAUCUGUAAAUUUGCUUUCGCAAAUUUUUGGUUCUUCCCUCGCCGGGAUUCGAACCCAUGCUACUGUGAUAUCGUGACACCAAAUCGCCUGCACUGUAGCCGUCCCGCUAGACCACACGACCACCUGGGCUCUCAAAAAAAGAGCUUUCGGUGGCCAUAUGUUACCUUUCCACGUC
rnacentral:lncRNA from 1 species